rnacentral:rRNA from 1 species
UACGUAGGGACCGAGCGUUGUCCGGAAUCAUUGGGCGUAAAGAGCUCGUAGGCGGCUUGUCGCGUCGUUCGUGAAAACCUGCAGCUCAACUGCAGGCUUGCGGUCGAUACGGGCAGGCUAGAGUUCGGUAGGGGAGACUGGAAUUCCUGGUGUAGCGGUGAAAUGCGCAGAUAUCAGGAGGAACACCGGUGGCGAAGGCGGGUCUCUGGGCCGAUACUGACGCUGAGGAGCGAAAGCGUGGGGAGCGAACAGG